GUAUAUUUUUUUUAUUGGAGAACUACCGUCGAUGUGUGAAUUUUAAUACGUGGACGACUGUAACAAAGUAUUCAAUGUGGCUAAAUUUUAUGUAAAUAAAAUGUCAUAUUUACUUGUAAAGAUAAUACGCAUACCAAAGGCCCUAGCCUCUUUCCCUAUCAGCAACUAUAAAGCACUAGAUUUUGUUUGCAAUGCAUUCUGCCAAGAACGUUCGCUAGUUUCUACAGCAGUUAGCAUAGCUUUUAGCGUGCUCAUCAUACUUUCCAGCUGUCCAUUGGCACGGCUUGCUCCCGUGGCUAUUAAAUGCAUCUCAAUUUUAUUCGAUGAGCAAAAUUUAUUACAUGCAAAGCUCCUGCCUUGAUCUGCAAUGAUGCGACUAGGAACUCCAAAGAAAGAUAUGCCUGACUUCACAUCUUUAAUGCAAUUUUCUGAGUCUAGACUAAGAGUAGGUCGUUUUUUCCACUGAGCUAGGUAUAUAAGGUAUAGGUAUAUAAGGUAUAGGUAUAUAAGGUAUAUCAACCUUAGGUAUGGGGUGCAAUUCCAUUUGGGCCUUUCCAGAAGGAGGCGAUUAUCCGAAUCACAAGUCUUGACUUGUCUUAACUUGCCGUUGUGCCUACACUGACUUCCCCCCGCGAUUGUUUGCUUUGAUUAAAAAGUGUGCUAUUCACUUACUCGAGGACGCUACUCUUUCGCUAUGGCUUACUUUUGUUUGUGCGUGUACAAUACUGUAUUGUUUAUAUAUACCAUGGCUUCGAAAAGAAAACGAAAAUCCGAUUAUCCGAAUAUUUGAUUAUCCGAAUGGGUCCCGGUCCCCAUUAAUUCGGAUAAUUGGAGUUCUACUGUAU